AUGCGAUAAGGAUUGAAGCGACAUCCUUUUUUGAGGAACGAGAAAAAGAUAUAGCGGAAAGCCUGACCACGC
rnacentral:sRNA from 1 species